UACGUAGGGGGCAAGCGUUGUCCGGAAUCAUUGGGCGUAAAGAGCGUGUAGGCGGCCAUGUAGGUCCGUUGUGAAAACUCGAGGCUCAACCUCGAGACGCCGAUGGAAACCAUAUGGCUAGAGUCCGGAAGAGGAGAGUGGAAUUCCUGGUGUAGCGGUGAAAUGCGCAGAUAUCAGGAAGAACACCCGUGGCUAAGGCGGCUCUCUAGUACGGUACUGACGCUGAGACGCGAAAGCGUGGGGAGCGAACAGG
rnacentral:rRNA from 1 species